rnacentral:tRNA from 1 species
AGGGGAGUGAGCUAACGGUUAUGCGCCCGGUCUCCAAAACCGUGAAUCCGGGUUCGAAUCCCGGCUCCCCUG